rnacentral:rRNA from 1 species
GUUUUUCGUUCCAAGAUGAGUCCGCGUAAGAUUAGCUAGUUGGUGAGGUAAUGGCUCACCAAGGCGACGAUCUUUAACUGGUCUGAGAGGAUGAUCAGUCACACUGGAACUGAGACACGGUCCAGACUCCUACGGGAGGCAGCAGUAGGGAAUAUUGCACAAUGGAGGAAACUCUGAUGCAGCGACGCCGCGUGAGUGAUGAAGGCCUUCGGGUCGUAAAGCUCUGUCGCAGGGGAAUAACACAAUG